rnacentral:lncRNA from 1 species
AAUCACUAAUGACCUCAUCUUCAAAUGGUCAGUGAUAAUAAACAAGAAGGAGGGAUUUCCAAGGGAGCAGAGCAUUAAUAAGCUACUUGUGCAAGAAGCUACAAUGAGAAAAAAAAUAGCAAGAAAUAGAUGAGGGAAGGAGGUUCUGUAGAGGGAAAAACAAAGAGAGAAAAGGAGAAUGAAUUGUGCUGAGAAAGAGAUGCCUGGAUGAAGAAGCUGGCCCUAGCACCCAUAAAGCUGGAAAGAAAGUGGGGCCUUGGAAACUUCUGGAAGGAUGCGAGGAAAGAAAAAUGCAAGGAAAUGAGAUGGAGAGGAGAAAGAGAAACCAGGAAGCACUUCGGAAGCAUGUAAAUUACAAGGAAAUGAGGAACAGCCUUUAUUGAAACAGUCUGUGAAGUCUGUGCUAGCGCUGAGAGCUUCAUUUUACUGUCCUGGCAAGGAGGUGUGGCCCCUCUCCAGUGCCCAGCACCUCAUCGCUGUGGUAACAGAAGACACGCUUAUCUUCCGGAUUUUGCCUCAGAGACUUGGGCUGUACAAGCUGCUUUCCUGGGGUGGCUUGUCCUUUUGCAGUUAACCGAGAUGCCUGGGGAGAAGAGCUUCCCCCAACAGGAUGGCAGGCGAUGCUUCCAGAUGCGGUCACUUGGCACGUCUGAGCCGAAUGUCUCCAUAAAAAUAUGAUGUAAUUAACAGAGCCGCAGCAGCUGGAACAAUUCAGCACCUCACAUUGAUUUUCCAUGUCUCCUAUUUACUUUCAGUUUUUAAACUGUCUGCAGUGACAGGAAAUCAAAGAAUUAUAAUGGUGUGUGUGAGGGCCCAAUGCUGGGUCGGCAUUUCCUUGUGAAAUCCUGAGAUUAAUCAGUUUCCUAUCACUCAAUCAUCCCUUUUCACUUCUAAAGGAAAACUGUCCUCCCAAAUGCUACGAAAUAGCAGUCUAUUUUUGGAUAUUAAAAAAAUCAAUUGUAUUAUUUUAAAAUUUGAGAGGAGUGUUUUUAAAAAAAGUCAGCCCGAAGCAAUAUUCACUUAUCUGUUUUCCCAUUCAAGUUUAAUAGGAGUUGGCAAAGGCAUUUGGGUGCAGUGAGACACAAGUACUAUAUUCACCCUUCCCAAGUUUUGAGAGCUUGGAAAAGUUACUUGGUGGAACCAAAGAGAGGAACUGCAUUCCAAGUUUUUUUGAUCACUGAAAUGAAGGAAAAUAAGUUUCCCCAUAUGUGGUUAUUCAUGAGCCUUCAUCUGAAGCUGGUGGUUUUCUCAUAGUUGGUCACUGUAUUUCCAGCUCUGUCAGGUGAAAGUCAGAAUCUUGGGUUAAUUUCACUUUGGGUUCCUUAAAAUGCUGGAGAAAAUAGGCAGCUGCGGUUGUAGUGGGGAAACAGGCCUCUGUCUGAAGUCAGCUUGCUCUAGAUUGUGUUUGAAAACAUGCCUCAGAUUUAAGUGGUCUUGCUUUUUUUCCAGACUCCCUUGCCUUGGCAGAUUCUGUGUCUUGGCCAUACUGUAAGAACUCACUUUUCUUUGUCUUUUUAUUGAUUCAAGCAAUAUAACCAUUUCAUAAAUAAUUAGGAAAAUAAAGAAGAAAAUUUCUCAUAAUUCUACUGCUCAAACGCAAUAGCUAUGAUUGCUUUGGAGCAAUUGCUUUGGGUCAUUUUCAAAUGCUGAGUUUUGGUAUGAUUCUAAGCAUAAUGUACAAACAACUUUACAUGUUGCUUUUUCACUUAAUCUAUGUCAGAAGCAUCUCCCCAAGUUAUGAUUAGCUUCAGUAAUUAUCUUUUUAAUUGCUGCCCAAACAGCUGGAACAAUUCAGUCCCUCUUAUUGACUUUCCAUGUGUCCUAUGGAAGUAGAGACAGUCUAUUAACUAUUUCUGUAUUUUGGGACAAUAGAUCAAAUUCAUUUUUCACUGUAAUUAAUCCCAUGAUAAGUAUCUUUAUAAAUAAGCCUUUUCUAUAUAUAAGAUAAUUUCUUUAGGAUAAAUUCCUAGAAAUUACAGGGUCAAAGUGGAUACAUAUUUUAUGACUCUUGAUAUUUCUUAUUGACCUUUAAAGCUAUUAUGUGACUUUAUAUUAUCACCUAAAAUGUUUGAGGAAUUCAUGCUUUACGAGCGUAUUUUAUUGACUAAAUAUGCAGUACUGAGAGAGCUUUAUGUGUGCAGUUUGAUGAUGCUGACAGAUAUCCCGGAGAUAAACAUUUUUUAAUUUAAAGAUGUUCUGUUUAUGUUUAACAUACAGAAGUUAAUGUUAAACAUGAUGCCUAUUUUGUUUAACAUACAGAAGUGACUGUAUUAAAGCCAUUUCUUCUAAAUGUGCAAUAAACUAUGAAUUCUUUGCCUGGU